UGAAGGGUUCCCAGAUCCCUUUAACCGCAAGGGGAAGGUUUGCAACUGCUGUUGGUGGAGGCACUGAAGGAGCCUGGUGCUGGCUCUCACCACCGCCCUCUUGGAUUGGUUGUUGAAUUGGAGCUUCUUGGCGUGGUGGUGACGUGGGGGACUCGGUGAUGAUGAUUGGCGAGUUGUGAGCACCUUCAUCCCCACCUGGCGCGGUUUCGGCGAUUGAGGCAGUUGAAGGAGGACCCUCUCCAGCGGAUAUGAAUGGCGUGGAGGCGCUCGGAGGGUUCUCCAUG
rnacentral:lncRNA from 1 species